GACGCUGGCGGUAGGCUUAACACAUGCAAGUCGUUCCGAGAAAGUAUCUUCGGAUAUGAGUAUUAGCGGCGGACGGGUGAGUAACGCGUAGGAAUCUACCUAGUAGAAGGGGAUAGCCCGGGGAAACCCGGAUUAAUACCGUAUACCUCCUUCGGGAGAAAGAAGGCCUCUCUUUGAAGCUUUCGCUACUAGAUGAGCCUGCGUAAGAUUAGCUAGUUGGUGAGGUAAUGGCUCACCAAGGCUACGAUCUUUAGCUGGUCUGAGAGGACGAUCAGCCACAUUGGGACUGAGACACGGCCCAGACUCCUACGGGAGGCAGCAGUGGGGAAUAUUGGACAAUGGGCGCAAGCCUGAUCCAGCCAUACCGCGUGUGUGAAGAAGGCCUUCGGGUUGUAAAGCACUUUAAGCAGGGAGAAAAAGUUAUAGGUUAAUACCCUAUGACCUUGAUGUUACCUGCAGAAUAAGCACCGGCUAAUCCCGUGCCAGCAGCCGCGGUAAUACGGAAGGUGCAAGCGUUAAUCGGAAUUACUGGGCGUAAAGCGCGCGUAGGUGGUUUGUUAAGUUGGAUGUGAAAGCCCUGGGCUCAACCUAGGAACUGCAUCCAAAACUAACUCACUAGAGUACGAUAGAGGGAGGUAGAAUUCAUAGUGUAGCGGUGGAAUGCGUAGAUAUUAUGAAGAAUACCAGUGGCGAAGGCGGCCUCCUGGAUCUGUACUGACACUGAGGUGCGAAAGCGUGGGUAGCGAACAGGAUUAGAUACCCUGGUAGUCCACGCCCGUAAACGAUGACAACUAGCUGUUGGGAGACUAUGUC
rnacentral:rRNA from 1 species